AUUUGAUGAUGAGGGCAUUGAAUCCAUAAUAGCUCAAAUCUUUCCCAAUACUCAGAGAGUGUUUCUCCAUGAGAUUGUCGAACCGCACAUUGUUUUCCUUAUGUU
rnacentral:snoRNA from 1 species